rnacentral:rRNA from 1 species
AACGAACGCUGGCGGCAGGCUUAACACAUGCAAGUCGAACGCACCGCAAGGUGAGUGGCAGACGGGUGAGUAACACGUGGGGAUCUGCCCAAUGGUACGGAAUAGCUCCGGGAAACUAGAAUUCAUACCGUAUGAGCCCGCACGGGGAAAGAUUUAUCGCCAUUGGAUGAACACGCGUCGGAUUAGCUAGUUGGUGUGGUAAAGGCACACCAAGGCGACGAUCCGUAGCUGGUCUGAGAGGAUGAUCAGCCACACUGGGACUGAGACACGGCCCAGACUCCUACGGGAGGCAGCAGUGGGGAAUACUGGACAAUGGGCGCAAGCCUGAUCCAGCCAUGCCGCUUGAGUGAUGAAGGCCUUAGGGUUGUAAAGCUCUUUCGCCGACGAAGAUAAUGGCGGUAGUCGGAGAAGAAGCCCCGGCUAACUUCGUGCCAGCAGCCGCCGUAACAC